rnacentral:rRNA from 1 species
CGAAAGUUACGCUAAUACCGCAUACGAUCACGGAUGAAGCAGGGGACCUUCGGGCCUUGUGCUAUACGAGCGGCCGAUGUCUGAUUAGCUAGUUGGUGGGGUAAAAGGCCCACCAAGGCAACGAUCAGUAGCGGGUCUGAGAGGAUGAUCCGCCACACUGGGACUGAGACACGGCCCAGACUCCUACGGGAGGCAGCAGUGGGGAAUUUUGGACAAUGGGGGCAACCCUGAUCCAGCCAUGCCGCGUGUCUGAAGAAGGCCUUCGGGUUGUAAAGGACUUUUGUCAGGGAGCAAAACCCAGCAGCUAAUAUCUGUUGGGGAUGAGAGUACCUGAAGAAUAAGCACCGGCUAACUACGUGCCAGCAGCCGCGGUAAUACGUAGGGUGCAAGCGUUAAUCGGAAUUACUGGGCGUAAAGCGUGCGCAGGCGGAUGUUUAAGCCAGAUGUGAAAGCCCCGAGCUUAACUUGGGAAUUGCGUUUGGAACUGAGCAUCUAGAGUCUGUCAGAGG